AGUCUGAAGGACAGGUGACUUCCUCUCGCUGUGAGCUGGAGAUUACUUCUAACUUGUAGGUUUGAGAAAAGAUGUAAACGGAACCCCAAGAAGCCGAGUGAGACGAAUGGCGAGCUUCACAAUGAGUAGGAAAUGCCGUCGGUCUAAUGGUGGUUGGGUGGAUCGUCGCCCGCAUCGCGUCUCAGUUGCCCAGACGUCCAGCAUAGCAACGGGAGGGUCGGAACUCAGUCCGACGUGUGCCCACCAAGCCAUCAACUCCAGAAUCAAGUUUACAGUCGCCACCACCUUAAAACUUCAGGGCUCAGCCCUCUUAUCAAUGCCGCAAAAGAGUCUGCUGGACCGGGUGGGAAAGAGGAAGGCCCGGCUGCCGCCUUGGCCUCUUGCGGUAUACCACCGAGCAGUAAAAUCAAGAUUAUGUGUUCUAGAUAGCUUUCCUGUUACUUUGAUAAAACUGAACAAAGCAGUUUGGAAGAGGAAGUGUUUACUGGGCUUAUCACCAUGGUUUCGGAAAGUCCUGGGAAGAAUUCAAACAAACCGUAGACUAAAGCUACCUCCUGGCUUGGGCUCAGCUGUCCUUGUGCUCAGUUCACGCCUGCGUGAGAAUGGACAGGCCACAAGGGAUGAGCCCUACUAAGUCAAUUAAUAAGCAAGCAAUCCCUUUUCCCAAGUGAAGGAUAGUAUAAAAUUCUUAGUUGGUUCACAAGCUAAUAGGGUUUCCUAGGGCUUCAUCCAUCCUUAGUUUGCACCAGUUCCCAACCCCAAUAAACCCAUAUAAAAACCACACAAUCCAGUUAUAAAUAUAAGCUAUGUACCUAGACUGGACAGCUCUAGCACUGUGCUAACUUAUUCCCCAGCUGCGAGACCCUUUGCUAUUUGCAGUUUCUCCUGGCCACGUGGUUCUGCUCCUCCUCUUCUUCAGUCCUCUCCCCUUCCCUUCUCCUCUCUACCUGUCCCUACUCUCCAAGACCUCCCACCUCUCCCCUCCCCUGCCCAAUUACAGGCCUCAGCCUUUAUUGACCAGUUAAAAUGGGGAAGAGGAUGCCCUCAAUACCCUCCCCUUUCCCUCAUCCCAGUUUCCUUUCCAGAUUAACCCUUUAGCUCCUGACAUUCUCUCCCUUUUCUACCAUCCACUCCCACUACAAAAUGUUUUUUAAGAGAGCAUACAGAGCCGAAUACAGUAGAAUAAUAAUUACACAAAAAUAGAACCUGGUGUGGUAGCUCACACAUUUUAUCCCAGUACUGGGAGGCAGAAGCAGAUGGACCACUAUGAGUUUGAGUUUGAGACCAGCCUGGUCUACACAAUGUGUUACAGACCAAGCAGGAUUAUAUAGUAAGACCCUGUUAAAGAAGAAAAAGUGCAUAUGCACAGAGAUAAACCCAAGAGAUGAAACAGAAUGUUAGCAAUGGCUCUCUUAAAGGGAUGUGAGAUUAUGGGUUACUACAAUUUUAUUAUCCAUAGUUUCUGUGUUUUAUACUAGUAUACAUCCAAUAUGUGUUAUUUUGGUAAUUGUUUUAAUGAUUUAAUAAAUGUCAUGAAAAUGA